UCCAGGCACAGUGGCACGUGCCUAUAGUCCCAGCUGCUUGGGAGGCUGAGACUGGAGGAUCACUUGAGUUCAGGAGUUUGGGCUGUAGUGCACUAUGCCAGUCGGGUGUCCACACUAAGUUUGGCAUCAAUAUUGCGAUGUCCCAGGAGCAGGGGACCACCAGGUUGCCUAAGGAGGGGUGAACCAGGCAGGUCAGAAACAGAGCAGAUCAAAACUCCCGUGCUGAUCAGUAGUGGGAUUGCGUCUGUGAAUAGCCACUGCACUCCAGCCUGGGCAAUAUAGUGAGACCCCAUCUCUA
rnacentral:SRP_RNA from 1 species